GACGAACGCUGGCGGCGUGCCUAAUACAUGCAAGUCGAACGCAGUGGGGACGGGUGAGUAACACGUGGGUAACCUCCCAUCAGAGGGGAUAACACUUGGAAACAGGUGCUAAACCGAUACUGAUGGAUGGACUCGCGGUGCAUGAGCUAGUUGGUGAGGUAACGGCUCACCUAGGCCACGAUGCAUAGCCGACGUGAGAGGGUGAUCGGCCACACUGGGACUGAGAGACGGACCAGACUCCUACGGGAGGAAGCAGUAGGGAAUCUUAGGCAAUGGACGAAAGUCUGACCGAGCAACGCCGCGUGAGUGAAGAAGGUUGUCGGAUCGUAAAACUCUGUUGUUAGAGAAGCGGUAUCUAACCAGAAGGCCACGGCUAACUACGUGCCAGCAGCCGCGGUAAUUC
rnacentral:rRNA from 1 species